ensembl:lncRNA
AUUCCUUUCAUAAUGUCAAAAUCCAAGGUAAUUAUAUUGGUUCAACAGUCAACAGUACGAUAACCCUCAAUAGCGUUUCAUCUCUAAUGUAGAACUAGACACAUCCACUUUGAGAUGUGUUAAAAGGUUGAUUAUCUUUUUUUAUUGCCAUCAAUGACUGCUGGCUCAUUCUAUUAUUGUGCGCAUGUGAAUACACUUCAAACUUGGGGGGCUGUUUUUUAACUAACAAUUAUCUUUCCAAUGUCAGCCCUUCCUCAGUCUGUAUUGACGGCGAGCGCGUCAACCAUCGGAGAGGAAGAGUCCGUUACACUUCAGUGUUCGGCAAGGGCAGGGGAUCCUCCUAAAAAAUGUUGGUUUUACCUGAUUAGUCCAAACGGCGAAAAGAACCUUGCCUUCGAAUGCCAGGCGACAUUUACAGGCUCUGUGCUCCUGGCAGAGAACUUUGCUCUCGCUGAGGUGAAGGUUCGGUGUUAUUACACCAACGAUCGGGGUGAGCCUGCUCCACACAGCGACAUCGUGUCUAUCACUGUAGCAAGAGGUGAGUGACAAACACAUUUGAUGGUCUGUUAUUAUACAGUGAUGCUGUGCAUGUAUAUAUAAAAAAAUAUUUAUUUAUUUAUUAGCCUAUUAUUAUUAUCAUUAUUAUUAUUAUAUAAUAUUUAUAUAUUAUUAUUAUCUAUCAUAAACGUCAGUAUGUUUGCUUUAUUAAUGAUUGGAUUCAUUUCCUGUACUGUACUGAUGUGUUUACGUUAACCCUCACCAACGUUUCAUCUCUAAUGCAGAACCAGACACAUCCACUUUGAGAUGUGUUCGAAAAGUUGAUUCUUUUAUUGCCAUCUAUGACUGCUGUCUCAUUCUAUUAUUGUGCCCAUGACAGCACACUUCAAACUUCAGGGGCUGUUUGAACUAACCAUAAUCUUUCAAAUGUCAGCCCUUCCUCAGUCUCUAUUAACGGCGAGCGCGUCUUCCAUCAGAGAGGAAGAGUCGGUAACACUUCAGUGUUCGGCAAAGGCAGGGCACCCUCCUAGAAAAUGUUUGAUUUUCCUGAUAAGACCCACUCAGGGCCAAAAAAACAUCGCCUUUGAAUGCCAGGAGACAUUUACAGGCUCUGACCUCCUGAGAGAGAACUGGUCUCUCGCUGAGGUGAAGGUUGGGUGUUUUUACACCAACGAUCGGUGGAAACCUCCGACUGCUCCACACAGCGACAUCUUGUCAAUCACUGUAAGAAGAGCCCUUCCUCAGUCUGUAUUGACGGCGAGCGCGUCAUCCAUCAGAGAGGAAGAGUCGGUAACACUUCAGUGUUCGGCAAAGGAAGGAGACACUCCUAAAAAAUGUUAUAUUUACUGGUUUAUUCAAGCGAACGAGCAAAACAAAAUCGCCUUAGACUGCCAGGCAACAUAUACAGGCUCUGACCUCUUGACACGUACCGGGGCUCUUGCUGAGGUGAAGCUUCGGUGUUUUUACACCAACGAUCGGGAUGAACCUGCUCCACACAGCGACAUCGUGUCUAUCACUGUAAGAAGAGUUGUUACUGGCAGUCCUACGCCAGCCAGUCCUACGCCAGCCAGUCCUACGUCAGCCAGUCCUAUGCCAGCCAGUCCUACUCCAGCCAGUCCUACAUCAGCCAGUCCCACCACUGCUGCCAUAACCGUGGUGAAUCCCACCUCAGGAACCCCAUUGAGAAAGUUUGCAGUCAUACGGAUAGUAUAUGUUGGAGUUUUUCUGUUUCUGAUCAUUCUGCUGUUGGCUAUUUUGCACACUUUGAGGCGGAGAAAGAGUGAGUUUAAAGUGGUAUAA